rnacentral:tRNA from 2 species
CGACGCGUAGCUCAGUGGUGAGAGCGACGUCCUUAUAAGAUGUGAGUCGUGGGUUCAAACCCCACCGCGCCGACCA